rnacentral:rRNA from 1 species
GAUGAACGCUGGCGGCGUGCCUAAUACAUGCAAGUCGAGCGAACAGAUGAGGAGCUUGCUCCUCUGACGUUAGCGGCGGACGGGUGAGUAACACGUGGAUAACCUACCUAUAAGGCUGGGAUAACUUCGGGAAACCGGAGUUAAUACCGGAUAAUAUAUUGAACCGCAUGGUUCAAUAGUGAAAGACGGUUUUGCUGUCACUUAUAGAUGGAUCCGCGCCGCAUUAGCUAGUUGGUAAGGUAACGGCUUACCAAGGCAACGAUGCGUAGCCGACCUGAGAGGGUGAUCGGCCACACUGGAACUGAGACACGGUCCAGACUCCUACGGGAGGCAGCAGUAGGGAAUCUUCCGCAAUGGGCGAAAGCCUGACGGAGCAACGCCGCGUGAGUGAUGAAGGUCUUCGGAUCGUAAAACUCUGUUAUUAGGGAAGAACAAAUGUGUAAGUAACUAUGCACGUCUUGACGGUACCUAAUCAGAAAGCCACGGCUAACUACGUG